AGUGAUAUAAGCUAAACCUAAGCUACUGGGCCCAUACCCCAAAAAUGAGUGUUAAAAUCCCUCUCUCACUA
rnacentral:tRNA from 1 species